rnacentral:rRNA from 1 species
UACGAAGGGGGCUAGCGUUGCUCGGAAUCACUGGGCGUAAAGCGCACGUAGGCGGCUUUUUAAGUCAGGGGUGAAAUCCUGGAGCUCAACUCCAGAACUGCCUUUGAUACUGGGAAGCUUGAGUCCGGAAGAGGUGAGUGGAACUCCGAGUGUAGAGGUGAAAUUCGUAGAUAUUCGGAAGAACACCAGUGGCGAAGGCGACACACUGGCCCGUUACUGACGCUGAGGCGCGAAAGCGUGGGGAGCAAACAGG